AUCAGUUAUGGUUUAUUUGAUGGUACCUUGCUACUUGGAUAACCGUAGUAAUUCUAGAGCUAAUACAUGCAGGAGUUCCCGACUUCGGAAGGGAUGUAUUUAUUAGAUAAGAAACCAAACCGGUCUCCGGUUGCGUGCUGAGUCAUACUAACUGCUCGAAUCGCACGGCUUUACGCUGGCGAUGGUUCAUUCAAAUUUCUGCCCUAUCAGCUUUCGAUGGUAGGAUAGAGGCCUACCAUGGCGUUAACGGGUAACGGAAAAUUAGGGUUCGAUUCCGGAGAGGGAGCCUGAGAAAUGGCUACCACAUCCAAGGAAGGCAGCAGGCGCGUAAAUUGCCCGAAUCCUGACACAGGGAGGUAGUGACAAGAAAUAACAAUACAGGGCUCUUCGAGUCUUGUAAUUGGAAUGAGUACAAUUUACAUCUCUUCACGAGGAUCAAUUGGAGGGCAAGUCUGGUGCCAGCAGCCGCGGUAAUUCCAGCUCCAAUAGCGUAUAUUAAAGUUGUUGCAGUUAAAACGCUCGUAGUCGGAUUUCGGGGCGGGCCCGCCGGUCUGCCGAUGGGUACGCACUGGCGGGCGCGUCCUUCCUCCCGGAGACGGCCGCUACUCUUAACUGAGCGGUGGUCGGAGACGGGAUGUUUACUUUGAAAAAAUCAGAGUGUUUCAAGCAGGCAGUCGCUCUUGCAUGGAUUAGCAUGGGAUAAUGAAAUAGGACUCUGGUGCUAUUUUGUUGGUUUCGAGCACCGGAGUAAUGAUUAACAGGGACAGUCAGGGGCACUCGUAUUCCGCCGAGAGAGGUGAAAUUCUCAGACCAGCGGAAGACGAACGACUGCGAAAGCAUUUGCCAGGGAUGUUUUCACUGAUCAAGAACGAAAGUUAGGGGAUCGAAGACGAUCAGAUACCGUCGUAGUCUUAACCAUAAACCAUGCCGACUAGGGAUUGGAGGAUGUUCCGUUUGUGACUCCUUCACCCCUUUCGGGAAACUAAAGUCUUUGGUUCCGGGGGGAGNUGGUCGCAAGGCUGAAACUUAAAGGAUUGACGGAGGGCCCCCCCAGGAGGGAACCUG
rnacentral:rRNA from 1 species